rnacentral:rRNA from 1 species
GUGGGGAAUAUUGGACAAUGGGCGAAAGCCUGAUCCAGCCAUGCCGCGUGUGUGAAGAAGGCCUUUUGGUUGUAAAGCACUUUAAGUGGGGAGGAAAAGCUGAUGGUUAAUACCCAUCAGCCCUGACGUUACCCGCAGAAUAAGCACCGGCUAACUCUGUGCCAGCAGCCGCGGUAAUACAGAGGGUGCAAGCGUUAAUCGGAAUUACUGGGCGUAAAGCGAGCGUAGGUGGUUGUUUAAGUCAGAUGUGAAAUCCCCGGGCUCAACCUGGGAACUGCAUCUGAUACUGGAUAACUAGAGUAGGUGAGAGGGGAGUAGAAUUCCAGGUGUAGCGGUGAAAUGCGUAGAUAUCUGGAGGAAUACCGAUGGCGAAGGCAGCUCUCUGGCAUCAUACUGACACUGAGGUUCGAAAGCGUGGGGAGCAAACAGGAUUAGAAACCCUAGUAGUCC